rnacentral:rRNA from 1 species
GAUGAACGCUGGCGGCGUGCCUAAUACAUGCAAGUCGAGCGAACAGAUGAGGAGCUUGCUCCUCUGACGUUAGCGGCGGACGGGUGAGUAACACGUGGAUAACCUACCUAUAAGACUGUGAUAACUUCGGGAAACCGGAGCUAAUACCGGAUAAUAUAUUGCACCGCAUGGUUCAAUAGUGAAAGACGGUUUUGCUGUCACUUAUAGAUGGAUCCGCGCCGCAUUAGCUAGUUGGUAAGGUAACGGCUUACCAAGGCAACGAUGCGUAGCCGACCUGAGAGGGUGAACGGCCAGACUGGAAGUGAGACACGGCCCAGACACCUACGGGAGGCAGCAGUAGGGACUCUUACGCAAUGGGCGAGAGCCUGACGGAGCAACGUCGCGUGAGUGAUGAAGGUCUUCUGAUCGUAAAACUCUGUUAUUAGGGAAGAACAAAUGUGUAAGUAACUAUGCACGUCUUGACGGUACCUAAUCAGAAAGCCACGGCUAACUACGUG